GACUAACUGGUUUAUUGGUAAAGCGUUUUCCUCAGAACCAAAAGGUCCUGAGUUCGAUCUCUAAUUGGGUCG
rnacentral:tRNA from 1 species